rfam:Diaporthe ampelina DA_912_scaffold_v01_29, whole genome shotgun sequence.
CUAAAAAUUUUUUUAUCUGAGCUCCUAUAAACAGUAAUGUUUAUAGCAAAAUAGAGGUGAAUUGCAGGGAUAUGUGAGUAACUUACCUUCGAUUAUUUACACAAUCUGCAGCGAAGUUUGGUAUUAGAUAAAUAAAAUAAUCCAAAAACGUUCAACGACCAACGAGUGCGUAAUUUAUCUACAAUAAUCUCGACACGAGCACCUCACAACCUUAAUUAAGAUCGCCUCUUUUUUUAUAAUACUAAUAAAAAUUAUGGUUGGUUAUAUAUGGACAAAUUGGCGGCUUACUUAUUUAUAUAUAUAUAGAUAAAAAUAUGUAAAAAAGGUUGAUGAUAUGGUCUGGAUAGUAGCCGUGAGGCUUCU